rnacentral:rRNA from 1 species
UGAGGAAUAUUGGUCAAUGGGCGAGAGCCUGAACCAGCCAAGUAGCGUGCAGGAUGACGGCCCUAUGGGUUGUAAACUGCUUUUAUGUGGGGAUAAAGUGCGUGACGUGUCAUGCAUUGCAGGUACCACAUGAAUAAGGACCGGCUAAUUCCGUGCCAGCAGCCGCGGUAAUACGGAAGGUCCGGGCGUUAUCCGGAUUUAUUGGGUUUAAAGGGAGCGUAGGCUGUCUAUUAAGCGUGUUGUGAAAUUUACCGGCUCAACCGGUGGCUUUCAGCGCGAACUGGUCGACUUGAGUAUGCAGGAAGUAGGCGGAAUUCAUGGUGUAGCGGUGAAAUGCUUAGAUAUCAUGACGAACUCCGAUUGCGCAGGCAGCUUACUGUAGCAUAACUGACGCUGAUGCUCGAAAGUGCGGGUAUCAAACAGG